AAUGAACGCUGGCGGCAGGCCUAACACAUGCAAGUCGAGCGGAUGAAGAGAGCUUGCUCUCUGAUUCAGCGGCGGACGGGUGAGUAAUGCCUAGGAAUCUGCCUGGUAGGGGGGGACAACGUGUCGAAAGGAACGCUUAUACCGCAUACGUCCUACGGGAAAAAGCAGGGGACCUGCGGGCCUUGCGCUAGCAGAUGAGCCUAGGUCGGAUUAGCUAGUUGGUGAGGUAAAGGCUCACCAAGGCGACGAUCCGUAACUGGUCUGAGAGGAUGAUCAGUCACACUGGAACUGAGACACGGUCCAGACUCCUACGGGAGGCAGCAGUGGGGAAUAUUGGACAAUGGGCGAAAGCCUGAUCCAGCCAUGCCGCGUGUGUGAAGAAGGUCUUCGGAUUGUAAAGCACUUUAAGUUGGGAGGAAGGGCAGUAAGUUAAUACCUUGCUGUUUUGACGUUACCGACAGAAUAAGCACCGGCUAACUUCGUGCCAGCCGCCGCCGUAAGAC
rnacentral:rRNA from 1 species